AGGCGCAUGGCUUAAUGGUUAGGGCAUUUGGCUCAUGAUCGUAAGGUCAGGAGUUCAAUUCCCAUUGUGUCCU
rnacentral:tRNA from 1 species